AUUGAACGCUGGCGGCAGGCCUAACACAUGCAAGUCGAGCGAGCGGCGGACGGGUGAGUAAUGUCUGGGAAACUGCCUGAUGGAGGGGGAUAACUACUGGAAACGGUAGCUAAUACCGCAUACCAUCAGAUGUGCCCAGAUGGGAUUAGCUAGUAGGUGGGGUAAAGGCUCACCUAGGCGACGAGCCCUAGCGGGUCUGAGAGGAUGACCAGCCACACUGUAACUGGACCACGGCCCAGACUCCGCCGGGAGGCAGCAGUGGGGAAUAUUGCACAGUGGGCGCAAGCCUGAUGCAGCCAUGCCGCGUGUGUGAAGAAGGCCUUCGGGUUGUAAAGCACUUUCAGCGAGGAGGCGUUACUCGCAGAAGAAGCACCGGCUAACUCCGUGCCAGCAGCCGCGGUAAUUC
rnacentral:rRNA from 1 species